UACAGAGGGUGCGAGCGUUAAUCGGAAUUACUGGGCGUAAAGCGUGCGUAGACGGUUAUUUAAGUCGGGUGUGAAAGCCCCGGGCUCAACCUGGGAAUUGCAUUCGAGACUGAAUAGCUAGGGUACGGUAGAGGGAAGUGGAAUUUCCGGUGUAGCGGUGAAAUGCGUAGAUAUCGGAAGGAACAUCAGUGGCGAAAAGCGACUUC
rnacentral:rRNA from 1 species